CCUACGGGAGGCAGCAGUGAGGAAUAUUGGUCAAUGGACGCAAGUCUGAACCAGCCAUGCCGCGUGCAGGAAGACGGCUCUAUGAGUUGUAAACUGCUUUUGUACGAGAGUAAACGCAGAUACGUGUAUCUGUCUGAAAGUAUCGUACGAAUAAGGAUCGGCGCAAUCCGGGGCAGCAGCCGCGGGAAGACGGGGGAUUCAAGCGUUAUCCGGAGUUAUUGGGGUUAAAGGGUGCGUAGGCGGUCGGAGAAGUUAGAGGUGAAAUCCCGAGGCUCAACUUCGGAAUUGCCUCUGAUACUGUUCGGCUAGAGAGUAGUUGCGGUAGGCGGAAUGUAUGGUGUAGCGGUGAAAUGCUUAGAGAUCAUACAGAACACCGAUUGCGAAGGCAGCUUACCAAGCUACUUCUGACGUUGAGGCACGAAAGCGUGGGGAGCAAACAGGAUUAGAUACCCCUGUAGUC
rnacentral:rRNA from 1 species